rfam:Nicotiana attenuata strain TT chromosome 8, whole genome shotgun sequence.
UGAAUUCGACUGUAUUCGACUGUAUUCACGGCGUGAAACAGGGGAUUACAGCUAGACAAAUUAUUGUAUUCGACUGUAUUCAGCUGUUUUUAAACGGAAAGUGAAUCAAUUAAUAUAAUAGACUCCU